UCUAAAUAGCAGCUGAACCUGGCAUUCCAAGCUGUAAAGUUUUUUUUUGUUGUUGUUUUUGUUUUUUUAAGAAAAAAACAACAACCAGCCAACAGGAAAAGUUUAUCUGGGGAAGCACAAAAUACAGGCCCUUUGAAGACUAUGGGAUUUGCUGAAGAAACUGAAGAUGGAGAAGUCAUGGAAGACAGUCAUGACCCAGAAGAGUAUUAUAACACGUGUGUUUCCUUGUAUAGAGGCAUACAGAAG
rnacentral:lncRNA from 1 species